GACGAACGCUGGCGGCGUGCUUAACACAUGCAAGUCGAACGGAAAGGCCCUGCUUGCAGGGUGCUCGAGUGGCGAACGGGUGAGUAACACGUGGGUGAUCUGCCCCUUACUUUGGGAUAAGCCUGGGAAACUGGGUCUAAUACUGGAUAGGACCAUGCUGUAGGUGGUGUGGUGGAAAGAUUAGUUUCGGUAAGGGAUGAGCUCGCGGCCUAUCAGCUUGUUGGUGGGGUAAUGGCCUACCAAGGCGUCGGCGGGUAGCCGGCCUGAGAGGGUGGACGGCCACAUUGGGACUGAGAUACGGCCCAGACUCCUACGGGAGGCAGCAGUGGGGAAUAUUGCACAAUGGGCGCAAGCCUGAUGCAGCGACGCCGCGUGGGGGAUGACGGCCUUCGGGUUGUAAACUCCUUUCAGCCAUGACGAAGCCCUUGUGGUGACGGUAGUGGUAGAAGAAGCACCGGCUAACUACGUG
rnacentral:rRNA from 1 species